rnacentral:sRNA from 1 species
GCCAGGCGAGGUGGCGCACGCCUGUAAUCCCAGUGGCGCAGGAAGCUGAGACAGGAGGAUCAUUAGUGCAAAGCCAGCCUCAGCAACUUAGGCACUAACCUUGUCUCUA